GCCUGGGUGGCUCAGUGGUUGAGCAUCUGCCUUCAACUCAGGCCAUGAUCUCGAGGUCCAGGGAUCGAAUCCCAUAUCAGGCU
rnacentral:tRNA from 1 species